ensembl:lncRNA LRRC37A5P leucine rich repeat containing 37 member A5, pseudogene
CAGGGCGCGGCUACAGCAACUACUUCCUUCGCAACCCGUUGGUAGGGAGAAGGACGCCUCAGCCACUAGGCUGCUUCCGGUGUGUCACUGAACACCUUCCCCGUACCAGCAGCUGGAGGAUUUGUUUGGUAGCACCUGGGGGAUGGCUCUGUCCCGGGCGCACUUAGGCGGGCUGUGCGGAGCGCUUUACCUUCCACAGUGUCCGGCACACGCAUCCUUUUCGACAUCAUCACUUGACCUGCUGCAAUAGGUGACCAGUUUGAAAUUCAGCUAAACCAGCAGCUAUGGUCCCUCAUCCCCAACAACGAUGUGAGAAGGCUUGUUUCUCAUGUUAUCCGGACCUUGAAGACGGACUGCACUGAGACCCAUUUGCAACUGGCCUGUGCCAAGCUCAUCUCUAGGACAGGCCUCCUAAUGAAGCUUCUCAGUGAGCAGCAAGAAUUGAGAACUGUAUCAAUGACAGCAUGGAAGCCCAGAAUGAACAGAAAGAGCAGAAGUCGAAUGAGUCCAAUAGAUCCGCGGCAUAGUGGCACCCCCAACAGCAACAGAAUUGGGCUGUCAACGUGAAUGGAACAGACAAAAGUGUAGGACUUUGACAUGGACUGAGAUUCAAAUCUCAACCCUGCUACUGACUAGCUAUGUGAUCUUGUCUACGUUGUUUUACCUCUCAGACUUUCAGUUUCCUGAGGCUCCAAGGAAGAUGAUGGUAAUAUUUGCUUCUGAAACUGCCCCUAUAAACUUUAUAAAAUUAGGCCGGGCACGGUGGCUCACACCUGUAAUCCCAGGACUUUGGGAGGCUGAGGCGGGUGGAUCACCUGAGGUCAGGAGUUCACGACCAGCCUGACCAAUAUAGUGAAACUCUGUCUCUACUAAAAAUACAAAAAUUAGCCUGGCGUGGUGGUGUGUGCCUGUAGGCCCAGCUACUCAGGAGGCUGAGACAGGAGAAUUCCUUGAACCCGGGAGGUAGAGGUUGCAGUGAGCCAAAAUCAUGCCACUGCACCCCAGCCUGGGAGACAGAGCAAGACUCCAUCUCAAAAAAUACAUAAAAUUAAUCAGGAAAGAAGGGAGGGAGGGAGAAACAAAAACAAACCAAGCUGGCAGCA